rnacentral:lncRNA from 10 species
GCAUAAUGUAUUAGAGGAAGACUUGGCAGAACUUUGUGUUCAGUGUGGUACAAGGGAUGAAGGAGACAAAGAAACCAAAGAUGACUCAUAGUUGUGAGCCUAGGAGUGUUAAGGACUUCAUGUAAUAUAUACAUUUGGAAAAGAUGGAUCAGAGGAAGGUCAUGGACAUUUGUAAACAUGCUCAGAUUUAGUUUUAGGAGAACGCUUAAUUGAAUUCUAUUCAAUUAUUAAACUUUUUUUAGAGAUUAGGCAAAAGAACAAUAAGCAAUGUUAUGGUUAUAGAUUUAUACCUUAGAGGUUGAAAUUUAAAACAAACAAGUAAGUGAAUUUCUUAAAGCCUAAGAGAUUCAUAUUACAAUGUCUUUUCCAGUCUGUGACUUGCCUUUUCAUUCUUU